rnacentral:rRNA from 1 species
AUAAAAAACCAACGCCCUUCGGGGCUUCUUGGUGAUUCAUGAUAACUUUUCGGAUCGCAUGGCCUUGCGCCGGCGACGGUUCAUUCAAAUUUCUUGCCCUAUCAACUUUCGAUGGUAAGUUAGUGGCUUACCAUGGUUUCAACGGGUAACGGGGAAUUAGGGUUCGAUUCCGGAGAGCGAGCCUGAGAAACGGCUAGCACAUCCAAGGAAGGCAGCAGGCGCGCAAAUUACCCAAUCCCAAUACGGGGAGGUAGUGACAAUAAAUACUGAUACAGGGCUCUUUUGGGUCUUGUAAUUGGAAUGAGUACAAUUUAAACCUCUUAACGAGGAACAAUUGGAGGGCAAGUCUGGUGCCAGCAGCCGCGGUAAUUCCAGCUCCAAUAGCGUAUAUUAAAGUUGUUGCAGUUAAAAAGCUCGUAGUUGAAACUUGGGCCUGGCUGGCARGUCCGCCUCACCGCGUGUACUUGUCCGGCCGGGCCUUCCUUCUGGAGAACCUCAUGCUCYUCAUUGGGCGUGUG